rnacentral:rRNA from 1 species
GACGAACGCUGGCGGCGUGCCUAAUACAUGCAAGUAGAACGCACAGUUUAUACCGUAGCUUGCUACACCAUAGACUGUGAGUUGCGAACGGGUGAGUAACGCGUAGGUAACCUGCCUGGUAGCGGGGGAUAACUAUUGGAAACGAUAGCUAAUACCGCAUAAUAUUAAUUAUUGCAUGAUAAUUAAUUGAAAGGUGCAAUUGCACCACUACCAGAUGGACCUGCGUUGUAUUAGCUAGUAGGUGAGGUAACGGCACACCUAGGCGACGAUACAUAGCCGACCGGAGAGGGGGAGCGGCCACACUGGGACUGAGACACGGCCCAGACUCCUAAGGGAGGCAGCAGUAGGGAAUCUUCGGCAAUGGACGAAAGUCUGACCGAGCAACGCCGCGUGAGUGAAGAAGGUUUUCGGAUCGUAAAGCUCUGUUGUAAGAGAAGAACGGGUGUGAGAGUGGAAAGUUCACACUGUGACGGUAUCUUACCAGAAAGGGACGGCUAACUACGUG